AAUGAAACACUUCAAAACACUGAUACAA
rnacentral:piRNA from 1 species